rnacentral:rRNA from 1 species
ACCAAAAAAGCUAGCCCAACCCUUAUAAGAAUUACUUUAUGUAUUAUUAUCAUUAAAUUAAUAAACAAAACAUUUUACCUCCUUAGUACAGGCGAUUAAAAAGGAAAUUUUGGAGCAAUAGAAAAAGUACCGCAAGGGAAAGCUGAAAGAGAAAUGAAAGAAAUACCCCAGCACCAAAAAGCAGAGAUAACCCCUCGUACCUUUUGCAUCAUGCUUUAGCUAGUAUGCCUGAGUAUAAGUGCUAUAGUUCAGCCCCCCGAAACUAGGCGAGCUACUUUGGAAGCCUAUUAGGCUACGCCUUAAGGGCACACCCGUCUCUGUCGCAAAAGAGUGGGAGGAUCCUCAAGUAGCGGUGACAAAUCUAUCGAGCCUAGUUAUAGCUGGUUGCAUAAAAAGUGAAUUUAAGUUCAGCCUCCUGACACUAUAUAUUAGCCGGCUAAAGCCUUCAAAAAUAAACAGUAAGUCAAGAGAGUUAGUCAAAGAGGGUACAGCCCCUUUGAAAAAGGACACAACCUCUCUGGGAGAAUAAAGAUCAAAUAAUACUAGGGAAUUUACUUUAGUGGGCCUAAAAGCAGCCACCUAUUAAGAAAGCGUUAUAGCUCCUGUAAAAUUCUCCCUUAAAUACCGAACCUUACUCUUCAUUCCCCUCCUCACUAUUGUGCCCUCCCACAGCCCCUGGGAAAGACCCUGCUAAAAUGAGUAAUAAGAGGGAACGCCCCUCUCCACCACACGUGUGUAAAUCGGAACGGACCCGCCGCCGAUAAUUAACGAACCGCCUUUAAACGAGGGCAGUGUCACACCAUAUAAAUUGCAAGAAAAUUUAACACGAAAAUUCGUUAGCCCUACACAGGUGCGUACCCCCGGAAAGACUAAACCAAAGGGAAGGAACUCGGCAAACACAAGCCUCGCCUGUUUACCAAAAACACCGCCUCUUGCAAAAUUAACAAAUAAGAGGUCCCGCCUGCCCAGUGACUGUGUUUAACGGCCGCGGUAUUAUGACCGUGCGAAGGUAGCGCAAUAAAUUGUCUCUUAAUUAGAGACUAGUAUGAAUGGCAUCACGAGGGCUUAACUGUCUCCCCUUUAAAGUCAAUGAAAUUGAUCUCCCCGUGCAGAAGCGGGGAUAAAAAUGUAAGACGAGAAGACCCUAUGGAGCUUUAGACUUAAGGUAACUUAUGUUAAAGACCCUCUCUCUGAGGAUAAACAAAAUAAGCCUUACUGACAUGUCUUCGGUUGGGGCGACCACGGAGAAAAAUAAAACCUCCACAUGGGCGGGCUACUUCAGCCCUAAAAUAUAGACCUACAGGUCUAACUAACAGUAAUUCUGACCUCUAAAGACCCGGCGUGAGCCGAUUAAUGAACCUAGUUACCCUAGGGAUAACAGCGCAAUCCCCUCAUAGAGCCCUAAUCGACGAGGGGGUUUACGACCUCGAUGUUGGAUCAGGAUAUCCUAAUGGUGCAGACGCUAUUAAGGGUUCGUUUGUUCAACGAUUAAAAUCCUACGUGAUCUGAGUUCAGACCGGAGUAAUCCAGGUCAGUUUCUAUCUACCCCCUGAUCUUUUUUAGUACGCAAGGACCAAAAAGAAGAAGUCUAUGUUAUAAAUAUACUUCACCCUCUACUAAUGAACCAAGCUAAACUAGGAAAAGGGCAAAAUAAGCUUUCCGCUUUAAAACAAAGCA